UGUUCCGCACAUUUUCAUUUAUUUUCGUAUUAAACUGUUUGAUAAUCUUUCAGCUGACAUACAAAACACAAACAUACAUGCAAAUUUGUCACGAACAAAUCGAGGCGAAAACACAAACUGAAGUUAACCAAAUUGAUGAAUUAAUCAUAACUUUAGAAAUCUAUCCACAUGACGCGGCCAGUAUGGGGCGCCAAGUGUAAAUUUAUUAUUCAGUUGAAAAACGGGUGAACUUUUCGGUUAUUUAUAAAAAUGGAAUAAAGAUGACAUUAUUUAUAUAUAAUAACUUUUAGAG